rnacentral:rRNA from 1 species
CAUGGCUCAGAUUGAACGCUGGCGGUAUGCUUAACACAUGCAAGUCGAACGGUAGCAGGCCUUCGGGCGCUGACGAGUGGCGGACGGGUGAGUAACGCGUAGGAAUCUGCCUCAUAGUGGGGGACAACGUGGGGAAACUCACGCUAAUACCGCAUACGCCCUACGGGGGAAAGCGGGGAUCUUCGGACCUCGCGCUAUGAGAUGAGCCUGCGUUAGAUUAGCUAGUUGGUAGGGUAAAGGCCUACCAAGGCGACGAUCUAUAGCUGGUCUGAGAGGACGAUCAGCCACACUGGGACUGAGACACGGCCCAGACUCCUACGGGAGGCAGCAGUGGGGAAUAUUGGACAAUGGGCGCAAGCCUGAUCCAGCAAUACCGCGUGUGUGAAGAAGGCCUUAGGGUUGUAAAGCACUUUCAAUUGGGAGGAAAACCGUAGUCGGUCAAUACCGGCAGCUUGACAUUACCUUUAGAAGAAGCACCGGCUAACUCCGUGCCAGCAGCCGCGGUAAC